rnacentral:lncRNA from 1 species
GGGCAUUCUACUGAAGUACUACCCUUGAAUAUGUUGUUCAGUACUGUAGGAAUGGUUAAAGGGUCAAUCUGCCAUUGGUUCAUAUAUUUUCGGGACUUUUCAAUUAGAUGUAUUGAAUUCUCCAUGUUGUCUAUAUUAAAGUUCCCCUCAUCUAGUAUAACAGGCUUUUAAAAUUCAAUAUUGAAGCAUAUGUUCUACUUAAAAUAUCAAAGGGAGUUUACUACUCAUUUUGUUGUUCUCGUUCACACAGGAGAGAGACAUGACUAUGGUGGAUCCUCUGGGGAGCCUCAACAACAUCCUGAUGCUGACGAGGCAGAGAAGAGUCUCUCCAGAUCAGAACACCAGAUGGACAACGCUAGCCCUUCCUCCCUCCCGGAGUCCCUGUGUCGUGCCUCUCCUGGUAGCACCUUAUUGCUGGGUAUGAAGAGGUUGUCUGUGCAGCUGGUGGACUGCAGGAAAACAACAGGGCUGAGUGGAACUGUGAGAGGAGGAGAAGAGAAGAAAGGAUCAGAUUUGACACAUCAAAGUAAGUGCUGUAGUUUAGUUUGAACAAAUACAAUAGAUCUGCCCACUGGUAUCUGUUACCAGGACAACCAGCAGAGUUCUGUUAGUUGACAG